rnacentral:rRNA from 1 species
UACGUAGGUGGCAAGCGUUGUCCGGAUUUACUGGGCGUAAAGAGCGCGCAGGCGGUCGUUCAAGUCGCGUGUGAAAGCCCCCGGCUCAACUGGGGAGGGUCACGCGAUACUGAUCGACUCGAAGGCAGGAGAGGGUAGUGGAAUUCCCGGUGUAGCGGUGAAAUGCGUAGAUAUUGGGAGGAACACCAGUGGCGAAGGCGGCUCACUGGACUGGUACUGACGCUGAGGCGCGAAAGCGUGGGGAGCAAACGGG